rnacentral:rRNA from 1 species
GAUUAUGGCUCAGGAUGAACGCUAGCGACAGGCUAACACAUGCAAGUCGAGGGGCAGCAUAGAAGUAGCAAUACUUGGUGGCGACCGGCGCGACGGGUGAGUAACGCGUAUGCAACCUACCUAUCAGAGGGGAAUAACCCGGCGAAAGUCGGACUAAUACCGCAUAAAACAGGGGCACCGCAUGGUGAUAUUUGUUAAAGAAAUUCGCUGAUAGAUGAGCAUGCGUUCCAUUAGGUAGUUGGUGAGGUAACGGCUCACCAAGCCGACGAUGGAUAGGGGAACUGAGAGGUUGGUCCCCCACACUGGUACUGAGACACGGACCAGACUCCUACGGGAGGCAGCAGUGAGGAAUAUUGGUCAAUGGGCGGGAGCCUGAACCAGCCAAGUCGCGUGAAGGAAAAGAAGGAUCUAUGGUUCGUAAACUUCUUUUGCAGGGGAAUAAAGUGCAGGACGUGUCCUGUCUUGUAUGUACCCUGAGAAUAAGGAUCGGCUAACUCCGUGCCAGCAGCCGC